rnacentral:rRNA from 1 species
UGGCAAUGGACGAAUGUCUGACGCAGCCAUGCCGCGUGARWGACGASGGCGCUACGCGUUGUAAACUUCUUUUAUAUAASAAGAAACCUUCGGACGUGUCAGAAGCUGACGGUAGUAUAUGAAUAAGCACCGGCUAKCUCCGCGCCAGCAGCCGCRKUAAUACGGAGGGYGCAAGCGUUAUCCGGAUUUAUUGGGUUUAAAGGGUCCGUAGGCGGAUCAUUAAGUCAGUGGUGAAAGCCGACAGCUCAACKGUCGAACUGCCAUUGAUASUGGUGAUCUUGAGUACGGUUGAWGUAGGCGGAAUAUGACAUGUAGCGGAGAAAUGCUUAGAUAUGUCAUAGAACACCGAKUGCGAAGGCAGCSUACUAAGCCGUUACUGACGCUGAGGGACGAAAGUGGGGGGAGCGAACAGGAUUAGAUACCSUGGUAGUCCACACCGUARACGAUGAUUACUCGGUAUWGGCUUUAYWGUCAGUGCCCAAGCGAACGYGAUAAGUAAUCCACCUGGGGAGUACGC